AGUUUGAGAAAAUAGUUGAAAGAAUUGAGAGAUUUUGAAAAAAAAUAGUUGAAAGAAUUGAAGAAGUUUUUGUGAAAUUGUUUAGAUUGACCAGUUUUAGAACAGCAGGGCAUCACACAAACAGGGGCAAAGGGAAAAGGGGACAAAUAAGUAAAGUAAACUACUCACACACAGACAACAUAUUGGAGGAAAAAUAAUCAGAGAUGACUGCAAGACAGGGGUUCAG
rnacentral:lncRNA from 1 species